rnacentral:rRNA from 1 species
UACAGAGGUCUCAAGCGUUGUUCGGAUUCAUUGGGCGUAAAGCGCACGUAGGUGGCGACGUAAGUCGGGUGUGAAAGCCCCGGGCUCAACCUGGGAAUUGCAUUCGAGACUGCAUUGCUGGAGUACGGAAGAGGAGGGCGGAAUUCCCGGUGUAGCGGUGAAAUGCGUAGAUAUCGGGAGGAACAUCAGUGGCGAAGGCGGCCCUCUGGUCCAGUACUGACACUCAAGUGCGAAAGCGUGGGGAGCAAACAGG